UAAGACAGAGGUGCCGAGCGUUAGGCGGAAUCACUGGGCUUAAAGCGUGUGUAGGCGGACUGUUAAGUACCUUGUGAAAUCCCACGGCUCAACCGUGGAACUGCUCGGUAUACUGGCGGUCUUGAGCCACUUAGGGGUCGUCGGAACAAACGGUGGAGCGGUGAAAUGCGUAGAUAUCGUUUGGAACGCCAACGGUGAAAACAGACGACUGGGAGUGUGCUGACGCUGAGACACGAAAGCCAGGGGAGCGAACGGGAUUAGAUACCCCGGUAGUCCUGGCCCUAAACGAUGUCGACUAGGUCGUGGCGGCUCUGACGCCGUCGCGGCCGAAGCAAAAGUGCUAAGUCGACCGCCUGGGAAGUACGGUCGCAAGGCUA
rnacentral:rRNA from 1 species